UUUCUAACUUUGGCAGCACAUAUUCGAAAAUUGGAACGAUACAGAGAAGAUUAGCAUGGCCCCUGCGCAAGGAUGACACGCAAAAUCGUGAAGCGUUCCUAAUUUUU
rnacentral:snRNA from 1 species